rnacentral:rRNA from 1 species
ACGAACGCUGGCGGCAUGCCUAACACAUGCAAGUCGAACGCGACCUUCGGGUCUAGUGGCGCACGGGUGCGUAACGCGUGGGAACCUGCCCUUAGGUUCGGAAUAACUCCCCGAAAGGGGUGCUAAUACCGGAUAAUGUCUUCGGACCAAAGAUUUAUCGCCUUUGGAUGGGCCCGCGUUGGAUUAGCUAGUUGGUAGGGUAAAAGCCUACCAAGGCGACGAUCCAUAGCUGGUCUGAGAGGAUGAUCAGCCACACUGGGACUGAGACACGGCCCAGACUCCUACGGGGGGCAGCAGUGGGGAAUAUUGGACAAUGGGCGAAAGCCUGAUCCAGCAAUGCCGCGUGAGUGAUGAAGGCCUUAGGGUUGUAAAGCUCUUUUACCCGGGAUGAUAAUGACAGUACCGGGAGAAUAAGCUCCGGCUAACUCCGUG